rnacentral:rRNA from 1 species
GUGGGGAAUAUUGGGCAAUGGGCGAAAGCCUGACCCAGCAACGCCGCGUGAGGGAAGAAGGCCUUCGGGUUGUAAACCUCUGUCCUUGGUGACGAAACAAAUGACGGUAGCCAAGGAGGAAGCCCCGGCUAACUACGUGCCAGCAGCCGCGGUAAUACGUAGGGGGCGAGCGUUGUCCGGAAUUACUGGGCGUAAAGGGUGCGUAGGUGGCCUUUUAAGUUGGAUGUGAAAUACCCGGGCUUAACUUGGGGGGUGCAUCUAAUACUGGAGGGCUAGAGUGCAGGAGAGGGAAGCGGAAUUCCUAGUGUAGCGGUGAAAUGCGUAGAUAUUAGGAGGAACACCAGUGGCGAAGGCGGCUUGCUGGACAUUAACUGACGCUGAGGCGCGAAAGCGUGGGGAGCAAACAGGAUUAGAAACCCGAGUAGUCC